AGAGAUGAGAGUCUCGCUAUGUUGCCCAGGCUGGUCUCGAACUCUUGGCCUCAAGCAGUCCUCUGGCCUUAGCCUCCCAAGUAGCUGGGAUUACAGGUGUGAGCCGUGCCUGCCUCCUGAGUUAACUUCUUACUCAAGAAAGAAUGCUUGUCCCUGCAAGAACAGCAGAACGCCUCAUGAACUGCAGCUGGGAACUGGAAAUGCCACAGAUAACACUGCAAACUUUAAAUGAACCAGAUUUUGGCAUGAAAAAAGACCUGUAGAAAGAUCUCCUCACCUGUGUUCCGUUUAAUUGUUUCAAUUUUAAAUUUGGUUUUUGUUUCCUAGAAACAUACUUUUCUGAGAAAGCAGUCAGAAACAGUGGUCUGGAAACAAUGGAUUGCUUAUGAACAAUUCUGCAAAUCUGCCCAGAGAUUUAAGAAAUCCUAAGAGGAUCGAGAAGUGGAAUUCUAAUUGGCCUUUAAAACUCCCAAUAACAAAGUGCUACAAACCAGGCGGCAUGACCACAAUAUUUAUAGAAGAUGGAGCUCAGAAUCCCCAUGUCUAACUCCCAGGUUAAAUGCAGAAAUUAAAGUGCUUUCACUGGGAAUAAAAGAGUGUUUAUUCAAGCUAAAUUUACACAUUUAUUGUUUUAAAGGGAUAAUAAAAAGUCUUUCAAGCCCUGAAGUAACACUUAACUCUCUAAUAAAAGUUUAUUAAAGAAAAGCUUCAGUAUACAAAGUAAGUAGUUCUUUUUUGCAGGUCCUCAAGACCAGGCAUCAAAGAGAGUUGACAGCAAAAUGGCCCGGAGUCCCUCUGCAUGAAUGGCGGCUCUCCCAGUCUCCAGCUGCCGGCGCCCUGGUGGCCGGGCCACACACACACACACACACACACACACACACACACACACACACACACCCCUUCUUGUACUUCGGGGAAGCAGCCUUUGUUCCCAGGACCCAAACUGGGAUCCAGUUAGGAAGUCCCCACCUCCCCUGAAGCAUCCUCUUCAAGUGCAGGGGCCCCUAAACCACCGUCCCAGAGCCACUCAGGAAAGAUACCCCAAAAUUUUCUCCCGGGUCCCAAGUGCUGGGGACAUGUGGCUGCCACUCUGGGCUCCAGACAGUCUCCCUAAACACAGAGGCAGAUACACACACACACACACCCUUGCAAUACGAUUAUCACCGUCACUGUUCACGGCUCCCACCUACCGAGGGCUCACCAUGUGCCAAGCGCCAGGAGCCUCGGGUGCUCUCUCUCUCUCACACACACACACGCGCGCGCACACCGAUACACGCGUACACAUGCACGCACGCACACGCGCACUCACACACGCACACACGUGCACACACGCACACCCAUACACGCACACGCACGCACACCCCACACACACGCGCGCCCACACCUAUACCCGCGCGCACACGCACGCACAAGCGCACGGCAGCGGCAGCACCCAGGUCCCUACACGCUGCCAGGGCCGAUCCCGGACACCUUCCACCUCCUUCCCGGGACCAGGGCCAGGAAGUGCCCGCGUCCGGCGGGGCGCACCUUCCCCGCCGGGCGCCGAGUGCCCGCCCCGAGCAGCCCCGCACAGCCCCGCG
rnacentral:lncRNA from 1 species